GGCUGUGGGAAAACUGUUAUUAGUCAUGCACUUUCCAAGGUAGCAUGUGACACUCUGGUUUUGUUCCACUUAAUUACUGGAUAUUUUGAAUUUCCUAAGCUACGGUUUCUCAUUAGUUAGGUUCUUAAUUAUGGACUUCCCACAAUUGAAAAAUGACGUUGCUUGAUGGUUGUGAGGACUCUGUCAUGAAACGUACCACACUUGUUGCCAACACCUCUAACAUGGCUGUGGCUGCUCGUGAAGCCUUAAUUUACACAGGAUUCACAAUCGCUGAAUAUUUUAGAGAUAUGGGAUACACUGUUAGUAUGAUGGCAAACUCAACUUCCCGUUGGGCAGAGAUAAAUUUAAGGACGACUGGUAAUCAAAGCGUCCGGAUUUGUUAGGUGUUGGAAUGUCCGGAGAAUAAGAGCACCCUAGCAUCUCCAUCUCAGCUUCAGCCCAAACCCUGUGAACGGAUCUGGAAAUGUCCACGAUGUCUCGAUUGAGGUCUUCUGGGGUUUGUACAAAAUGCUUUCCCAGAGAAAACGUUUUACCUCUGUUAAUUGUUUGAUUUCCUGAUCAAAG